rnacentral:rRNA from 1 species
AGAGUUUGAUCCUGGCUCAGAUUGAACGCUGGCGGCAUGCCUUACACAUGCAAGUCGAACGGUAACAGGUCUUUCGGGAUGCUGACGAGUGGCGAACGGGUGAGUAAUACAUCGGAACGUGCCUAGUAGUGGGGGAUAACUACUCGAAAGAGUGGCUAAUACCGCAUGAGAUCUAUGGAUGAAAGCAGGGGACCUUCGGGCCUUGUGCUACUAGAGCGGCCGAUGGCAGAUUAGGUAGUUGGUGGGAUAAAAGCUUACCAAGCCUACGAUCUGUAGCUGGUCUGAGAGGACGAUCAGCCACACUGGGACUGAGACACGGCCCAGACUCCUACGGGAGGCAGCAGUGGGGAAUUUUGGACAAUGGGGGAAACC